GACAAAUAGAACCAUUUAUCUGUACUCAAGCAGCAAGUCCUUGAAUGUAACCUGCGUCCGUGCCAAAAUAUUAAAGGAUGAUAAAAGUAGCAACACUUUAACUUACGACGUGCUGGUCAAGUGGGGCGACGACCACCAAGAGAUGAAUUUCAAUGCCUCAUUUGCACCACUCGUUAAAUCAGGGAUAGACGUGAAAAUAUUCACGUCUGUCGACAAGGAUGCUCUGAAAAGCAAAGAGCUCUGGGUGAAGAAUCCUUCUGUUACAAAGAACAUCAUAACCUGUUACAAGGAGUUCAUGCACGUAUGCAACUGUAAUGGGCACCCAACAUGGUACUCCGCCAUUCAAUGCGAACAAGACGAAGUACGUAGGCGUCAUGCGCCUAAUUGCUGAAUAAGAGUGACUGUUUCCACCUGCCACAAAGUUUUUUGGCACUCAAAUAAAUCUUCUUACAUUGCUA